UAUUGAUAAUUUGUCAGAGAGUAUGAGGAGGUAUAUGGAACAGAAAGUUAAGGAGAAGUAUCAUAUAUGAAAAGAGAAUUCAUCAGAAAGUAUACUAGACACAGAGUUUAAUUUAUAUUAUAUUAUAUAUAAUUUAUAGUUAGAGAGUGUGCUUGUGGCGGUCAAGCUUACAUCUCCAGGCAAGGACGACAUAUGCUAUGAGAUGAUAACGCAUUUAUCGGACUUAUCUUUGAGUAUGAUUCUUUAGCAAGAUGACUUUUUAGCAAAAUAUGAGAAUGAGGGAAUUUGCCUGCAGAUUGGAAGCAUGGGAUAGUAGUGCCUAUAGCCAAACCAGGGAAAGACCACUCUCAGCCAAUUAACUAUAAACCUAUUGCGCUGACAUCAAAUUUAUGUAAAUGUGGUAGAGCGGCCUUACGGGUUCGCCUUCUACCCAUAUGAUGGCAAUACUCGCUGUGAUGUUCCGUGUAAAGUUGUGUUUAUCUACAGCGUGCUCAAGUGCAAAGUCCAAAAUAUAUAUAAUACCCCAGAAAAGAAAAAGUGGGAAAAUAACAAAACAAGGACAAUUACGAGGACAGUAAAGAAAACUAUAUACAAAAUAGGCGCACCAAUUCACUACAAUAGUUCUCAGACUCCGUUAUCGCCACAAUGCAUUAUGGCUGGUUUAUAUAGUGUAAGCCCCUCCCCUUGGACUCAACCAUUUUACCCAAAGGGGUUUGGUAUUUUGUAGCCAGUCACAAAAUGGCUUAAUAACAUUGUGAAUAUCAUAAUAAAUAAUAAACAUGACAACAACAACAAUAAUAAUACUAAUAAUAGCAAUAAUAAUAAUAACAGAAAUUCACAAAAUCAAUAAUAAUAAUAAUAAUAAUAAUCACACACAAAAAAAUGUCCCUUCAACAUAAGCUUGCCGACUUCCGGGUUUACUGCGCUGGCACUUUAAAGCCGGCCGCUAUUCAGCGUUCCGGUUGGCUGCCAUCCAAACCCAACCCGGAAGCCAGACGCAACUAACAGAUCAGUAGGUGGCAAUAAUGCAUAUGUCCGUUGGUCUGCCAAACCGCCAUAAAACACCAGAAGAAGAAGAAGAAGAAGAAGCAACAGCAGCAGCAGCAGCAGCAGCAGCAGAUGGAGGUGGAAAUGUUUGGAGAAAGCUGCUCCGUGAAUAAACAAGGAUUCUCACCCAUUCAGCUCAAAUUUAUGGGUGAAGACGCCACUGGUUUCCUGUUGAUUGCCUUCUGCCAUGCAGUGGAAUUGAAAAAAGAAGGAAACCAAGGAAGAAUGCUUGAUGAAUUUCUGCAUCAAGUUGAUUUAAAGUCAUCUGAUGUAACUUAUGCGC